rnacentral:rRNA from 1 species
AUACGUAGGGAGCGAGCGUUGUCCGGAAUUACUGGGUGUAAAGGGAGCGUAGGCGGGAGUGCAAGUCAGAUGUGAAAUACAUGGGCUCAACCCAUGGGCUGCAUUUGAAACUGCAUUUCUUGAGUGAAGUAGAGGUAAGCGGAAUUCCUGGUGUAGCGGUGAAAUGCGUAGAUAUCAGGAGGAACACCGGUGGCGAAAGCGGCUUACUGGGCUUUUACUGACGCUGAGGCUCGAAAGCGUGGGGAGCAAACAGGAUUAGAUACCCUGGUAGUCCACGCUGUAAACGAUGAUUACUAGGUGUGGGGGGACUGACCCCUUCCGUGCCGCAGUUAACACAAUAAGUAUUCCACCUGGGGAGUACGGCCGCAAGGUUGAAACUCAAAUGAAUUGACGGGG